UGCUGGUAGAAUUUGAAUUUAAGGCUCGUCAUACUGUUCAUUAUACACUAGUGCUUUGUCACAAGGUUGACUGACUCAUAGUCCGUCUUGGUUAAUUGAUUUAUACCGGCCAUAUUCUCAUUUCAACUGCCAGCAAUUUAUUGGCUUCAUAGUUAAAUUUGGUUUCAUUGGAAUAGCCACGCUAUUUAUAAUGAAAAUCCAUCCAUCCAUUUUCCAAACCGCUUAUCCUACUGGGUCGCGGGGGGUCCGGAGCCUAUCCCGGAAGCAAUGGGCACGAGUCAGAGAACAACCCUGGAUGGGGGGCCAGCCCAUCGCAGGGCACACUCACACACCAUUCACUCACACAUGCACUUUAUAAUGAAAAUGCACAAGGUAAUUUCUGUACAUUUAUGAAAGGUUUUACUUUAAAUAUUUUUCAACAAACCGCAGCAAUUUAUAAUUUUGAAUAAAUGGCAAUAUAAUUUUAAACAUACGUGCUGAUGUCAGGGAAAAACACCAAGGACCUGUCAUUACAAAACCAUCAGAAUCGACCAGCGUUUUGAUUUAGAAUAGGCUCACUUUGCAUAAUGUUUGUUAAUAAAAUAAUUUUGGUAGUAGGUGUAUUUUGCUCAGAAAGAACAAGAACAAAUUUUAAAAUUACAACAUACGCAAAUGAAUAGUAUCAAUAAAAUUUGCUGAUAUAUUGUUUAAUGGCUAUAGCAACAAGUCUGCUAAUCUUCUUCAGGGGCACCCAAACCAUUCCGCGUAUAUAUUAGUUAAAAUUAACAACCAGCUCAAAUAUUUAGUUACAUAAUUACUCACUGAGGCACUGAUUAGACAAACAAGUUUGGGUAAACGUGGACUUAAAUUGGCGUAUUUCAGUUAUUGGCGUAUAUUUCACAUCAGUUGGUCUUUAAAUCGGAUUCUUCAGGAUUUAGAUCCCGUCCUUUGAACCCCGAACCUGAGAUCCUGCCGGUUGCCUGGCAACUGACGUCACUAAACAAAUGCAGGCUUCAGUUGGGUCGAUUUCAGAACGAAAGGGUUCCGUUCGGGUUCCGAAGCGAAGUGGCAAUGGCCAAACUGGUAAUGAUGAAUCCGCCACUUUGGUCUCCUGUUAUACGCUACUUCUCAACUUGUUUGUACUACUUUGGCUUGUUUGUAAAGGUGUUAUAUGGAAGCGCUGUACUGCACGUUUCCCUCGGUUCUGUAGCUGUAAAUUAGUUUCUUCUCUUGUUAUGUUUCGGGCCGUAAUUUUACAGAUCGGCAUUCCUCCAGAUGGGACGUGGAGCUGGAGCGAUGAAACGAAAACUCUCGUGUUUUUACGCUCAAGUGAUAACGAUGAAAUUACAGAAAAUGUGAAGACCAAUCUCAUGCAUACCCCUGAGUUUACUGGCAAAAGACUUGAAAGGUCUGUACGGUCCUCAGCCUUGGCUUCGAAGGGUCACGGUGGCACUUGUGUUCCAGAGGAGCGAAGUAACAUUGGCCAAGUAGCGGGGAAUAUUUACUUAAAGAAGUACCAGUCAGACUGUGUCACCAUUGAGCACAUUAAAGAGGAGGCCCUCUCUCAUCUGCAAAGGGAAAAAUCUCAACGCAUCCCGCCACACUUCCUGUCUCUGCUAAGGGGUGAUGCUCUGGAUGACUUCCUGCGUGUCCUAUUACUGUACCUGUCCUGCUUUUUUGAACGGAGGAUGCUGGCCAAGAAGACCAAGACACGCAUGGCAGAGCAGAGUGUAACAGAACAGCAGGAGAUGGUGGAGGCUGCUGCCAAGCUGGACCUGGCCCUAAAGCAGCUUGCCUCUUGCUAUGCCAGCUUGAUCCUAGGAGCGAGUCUGCCGCAGCACCAUCACAUGGCAUGCGGAAGGAGCAGAACAUCAUCGACUUUCAGAGACAGGCAGUUCUUUGAAUGGGUGUACAGCUUCAUCUGUUAUUCCGCCUGGCUGACGUUCGGACGAAAGGACCUGCUGGGGAUCCAGCAGGAGGUGGGGAGAUUGAUGCGCUCCGAUACCUUCAACCCUGCUCUGAGAGUGAGGAGGAGUGGAAGCGUGGAGGAGCCCAUCUGCAGCACCUCCCAGGGAGAAGCAGGGGUCGAAGGUCAUACCCUGCCACAUCCGCACCAGAGGAGGAAGCCCGAGAAGAGACCUGCUUUCAGCAGAAUCGUGACACAGUGUUCUCCUCUUCUGGUGGCCUUGCUCCCCUCAGCCGCCCCGUGCCCGUCUGCCGCACUGCUGCCUCCGACAGCGCCCCCCGGUGGAGCCUGUGAUAUGGAAGCCCUGAAAGAGCAGCUCGCCUCUCAGCUGGCUUCUGCCAGGUUUGGUAUCCUGGGAACGCCUCUACAUCAGGUCAGCAGCACCACUUUCCAGCCUGUGGGAGAGGAUGAUGAAGAAGCUGAUGAGGAAGAGCUGGAAGAGAAGGAAGAUGAUGAAUAGAAUGGCAGGAUGUCGCUAGAGUGACAUUCAGACAGAAUGACACCUGCGUCCAGCAUUCCUGCGGCCUUCCAGAUGGCCCACAAAAAUUAUUUGCCACUUGGGGGUGCUGUUGCUGCAGGCAGAGCAGCGAACGGGGUGUUUGACUUUGCUAAACUGAAUGAGCGAUCUUCACAUCUUGAACAUCCUAAAGUGAAUGCAUCAUCUCCACAAAUGCGUAGCAAUAUUACUAAUGAUCUAUCUUUUGACCACUGCUGACCAAGACAACUUCCUUAUUGCGCCUGCAUCCACUCCCAUGGAGUCUACACCAAAGUGACAGCUUAGUUUUUUUUGUACCAACGAUAUUAUAUAAAGCACGAUAUAAAGUACCCUUCAUAAUACAAGAACGCGUGAUUUAAUGUAAUGUCAUGAAUUGUUCAUCGAGGUAAAAUGUCGCUUUUUUUACACGCGCCCGUCGGAUCCAAUCAUAAACCUGUCACGAACCUGUUUUUGCUACAUGCAAUCAACCGCAGUAUAUAAACAGUCACUGAAAUUUCACACAAACCAUGGAGCCAAGGCCAUGUGGUCCAAUGAUAUCAUGCAUCUUUGGAUUCAAAUGGUUUUGAUGGCAUUUUAACUGGAUUAAUGAGGGUGUUUAGGUUUUAAUCAGGCCGGUAAUUGAGUAGUGAGAGCUAAUUUUCCCCUCGACGAUGUUAGCUCUCCCUCUAACUGAUGGGGCGCAGAAAAAGCUAAAAAUAAGUUCCGGGAAUCGAGGGAAAAAUUAGCACGACGAGACGUGUUGGUUUGGCAAGGAGACGAAGCUGUCUCUCAAAGCCAGUCCUUUCCAUAGAUCAGGGACCCGCAGACCGCGGUUUACGGCCGCUAGGAAGACAACAGGGACCUGCAGAGGGUGGGUGUUAGGCUGCCUCUUACACCAGGAAGCCUCACUGCAGAUGAUGCUUCAGCGGCUGCAAAGGUCCCAUAGGGGAUUCGGAGGCUGCCUCUUCUGGCAGCUCUUUAAUGAUAUGAAGCUUAGUCCGUUUUAUUUUUAUGGGAAUAAAACAGCUGUCACAUUAAAAUCCUCCUGGAGCUGUCAGAAUGACUCUCAGGUUGCUAAAUGGCACCGAACAAAAACUGUCAGUGUUUGAAAACGUUUUCCUUUAUCAAAUUUUAUGCCUUUCAUAGAUCUAAUAACAAUUCACUAAAGAAAGCGACGGAUUUGAACGCUUUUAUGAUUGAGGUUCAGUUCCACUCUUAUCCCAUUCAUACAGCACCGGUGGCUCAAACUGCAUGGCCAAAACACUAACCUGUUACACAUGGGUCUAGCAAAUAACUAAAUGAAUUAAAAAAUUUAUAAAAACCGGAAUUUUUAAUAGACCCUGUGGCUGGUGCUUGUUAUGUCUUACUUUAAGUUAGGCCUGCAUACUGCGCUUGGUUAAACAGUUAGUUUAGCCAAACAGUCCAAUUCCAGGUUAUGUGGUUACCCUAGCUGGAGUUGAUGUGACGUCACGGCUCUGAGAUGGAAGGGUACCCUGUGUAAAGUGUGUCUCUUUCGUCCCAUGAUUCAAAUCCGCAUCUGAACUGGACUAAACAAACAAUGAAUAAUACAAUAAAU